ACCUGAGUAGCUCAGUUGGUUGAGUGUCUGACUUCAGCUCAGGUCAUGAUUUCAUGGUUCAUGGGUUUGAGUUCCACAUCAGGUU
rnacentral:tRNA from 1 species